rnacentral:rRNA from 1 species
AUUGAACGCUGGCGGCAGGCUUAACACAUGCAAGUCGAACGAGUGGCGGACGGGUGAGUAAUGCUUGGGAAUCUAGCUUAUGGAGGGGGGUAACUACGGGAAACUGUAGCUAAUACCGCAUACUACCGGAUGGACCCAGAGGGGAUUAGCUAGUGGGUGGGGUAAAGGCUCACCUAGGCGACGAUGCCUAGCUGGUCUGCGAGGAUGAUCAGCCACACUGGGACUGAGACACGGCCCAGACUCCUACGGGAGGCAGCAGUGGGGAAUAUUGCACAAUGGGCGCAAGCCUGAUGCAGCCAUGCCGCGUGUAUGAAGAAGGCCUUAGGGUUGUAAAGUACUGUCAGCGGGGAGGCGGUACCCACAGAGGAAGCACCGGCUAACUCCGUGCCAGCAGCCGCGGUAAUUC